CACGUAGGGCGCAAGCGUUGUCCGGAAUUAUUGGGCGUAAAGAGCUCGUAGGCGGUCUGUUGCGUCUGCUGUGAAAACUCGGGGCUUAACCCCGAGCCUGCAGUGGAUACGGGCCGACUAGAGGUAUGCAGGGGAGAACGGAAUUCCUGGUGUAGCGGUGGAAUGCGCAGAUAUCAGGAGGAACACCGGUGGCGAAGGCGGUUCUCUGGGCAUUACCUGACGCUGAGGAGCGAAAGCAUGGGGAGCGAACAGG
rnacentral:rRNA from 1 species